CCCGCCAUAUUUAACAUAUAAAAAAACUUUAUAUGUUAAAUUUGGCGGGCUUCCGCCAACAAUCUGUGCUUUGUAUGCCCUAUGGAGAGAAGCACCCAUCUUCCCCCUAAAAAGCAAAGAAAACAUUAGGAAAAAGCAUUAUGAAUGAGGAUGGCCUGAAUCUACACAUUGACAAUGCAAGAAAGGCUGCACCAAAGCCAGAAACACUGUUUGGGUUUUCCUACGAUAUUGUACGAAAGGUUGCUGCUAAGUAUCCCAAACAUCCCUGGAUCUUGGCAUGAAAGUCAUUAGGUUCAAGUGCAGCGAACCAGACCAUAUUGUCAUGCGCCCUACGGUUUCUGGAGCAAAUCCUUGUGUUGGGGCAGCAGCGAUUGGGGUUGUUUGUGGCUGCGUGGGUGGUGCCUCGAUGCUGUAAACAGUGGUCAAAUAACAUUGGAUAGUAGGGGUAACGAGUACCAUAACAAAACAAGAAAAGGAAUACCAACAACAUGCAAUUAGGUACAGUUUUGGGACUGGUAAUGGUGUCUAAACAACCGUUAUAAGCGAUGGUUGCGGCUGCCAAAACAGUUCAGAAAGAGGAAGCCAUGCUUAAAUGAUUCUGGGUCGGUUUUCGGGUUGAAUCAUAGUUUACAAAUUGUGAGUUCCUAAGGUAUUUUUAGGGUAUGUUAAAGGUUAUCUCUAUUCCAUGUUUUGUAUGUAGAGUCUAAUUUGAUAUGUAAUAGAAAAAAAUAUGCAAGUUUAUAAACAUGGAAGUGAAAACACCAUGAUCAAUAUUUCUCUUUUGUAUGUG